rnacentral:rRNA from 1 species
AGAGUUUGAUCCUGGCUCAGAUUGAACGCUGGCGGCAGGCUUAACACAUGCAAGUCGAACGGAAACAGGAAGUAGCUUGCUACUUUGCUGUCGAGUGGCGGACGGGUGAGUAAUGCUUGGGAACAUGCCUUUAGGUGGGGGACAACAGUUGGAAACGACUGCUAAUACCGCAUAAUAUCUUCGGAUCAAAGUGGGGGACCUUCGGGCCUCACGCCUAGAGAGUGGCCCAAGUGGGAUUAGCUAGUUGGUAAGGUAAUGGCUUACCAAGGCGACGAUCCCUAGCUGGUCUUAGAGGAUGACCAGCCACACUGGAACUGAGACACGGUCCAGACUCCUACGGGAGGCAGCAGUGGGGAAUAUUGCACAAUGGAGGAAACUCUGAUGCAGCCAUACCGCGUGUAUGAAGAAGGCCUUAGGGUUGUAAAGUACUUUCAGCGAGGAGGAAAGGUGGUAGCUUAAUACGUUAUCACUGUGACGUUACUCGCAGAAGAAGCACCGGCUAACUCCGUGCCAGCAGCCGCGGUAAUACGGAGGGUGCAAGCGUUAAUCGGAAUUACUGGGCGUAAAGCGCAUGCAGGCGGUUUGUUAAGCGAGAUGUGAAAGCCCCGGGCUCAACCUGGGAACUGCAUUUCGAACUGGCAAACUAGAGUUCUUGAGAGGGUGGUAGAAUUUCAGGUGUAGCGGUGAAAUGCGUAGAGAUCUGAAGGAAUACCAGUGGCGAAGGCGGCCACCUGGCAAGUAACUGACGCUCAGAUGCGAAAGCGUGGGUAGCAAACGGGAUUAGAUACCCCGGUAGUCCACGCCGUAAACGAUGUCUACUCGGAGUUUGGUUCCUUGAGAACUGGGCUCUUAAGCUAACGCAUUAAGUAGACCGCCUGGGGAGUACGGCCGCAAGGUUAAAACUCAAAUGAAUUGACGGGGGCCCGCACAAGCGGUGGAGCAUGUGGUUUAAUUCGAUGCAACGCGAAGAACCUUAC